UAGGGAAUCUUCGGCAAUGGGGGCAACCCUGACCGAGCAACGCCGCGUGAGUGAAGAAGGUUUUCGGAUCGUAAAGCUCUGUUGUAAGAGAAGAACGUGUGUGAGAGUGGAAAGUUCACACAGUGACGGUAACUUACCAGAAAGGGACGGCUAACUACGUGCCAGCAGCCGCGGUAAUACGUAGGUCCCGAGCGUUGUCCGGAUUUAUUGGGCGUAAAGCGAGCGCAGGCGGUUUAAUAAGUCUGAAGUUAAAGGCAGUGGCUUAACCAUUGUUCGCUUUGGAAACUGUUAAACUUGAGUGCAGAAGGGGAGAGUGGAAUUCCAUGUGUAGCGGUGAAAUGCGUCGAUAUAUGGAGGAACACCGGUGGCGAAAGCGGCUCUCUGGUCUGUAACUGACGCUGAGGCUCGAAAGCGUGGGGAGCAAACAGG
rnacentral:rRNA from 1 species